UAUUGAGAGUUUGAUCCUGGCUCAGGAUGAACGCUGGCGGCGUGUCUAAGGCAUGCAAGUCGAAUGGUCUGGUUUCCAGACCAUGGCAAACGGGAGAGUAACACAUUGGUAAUUUACCCCAAAGACGAGAAUAAUCCAGAGAAAUCUGGAAUAAUACUCGAUAUUAUGCAUUGUCGCCUGAUAAUGCAUCAAAGCUCCGGCGCUUUGGGAGAAGCCUAUGGUCUAUCAGCUAGUUGGUGGGGUAAUGGCCUACCAAGGCGACGACGGAUAGCGGGUGUGAGAGCACGACCCGUCUCACUGGGACUGAGACACUGCCCAGACUCCUACGGGAGGCUGCAGUCAAGAAUAUUCCUCAAUGGCCGAAAGGCUGAAGGAGCGACGCCGCGUGUAUGAUGAAGCCCUUCGGGGUGUAAAAUACUUUUAACCGGGACGAAGUACUGACGGUACCGGUUGAAUAAGGGGCUGCUAACCUCGUGCCAGCAGCAGCGGUAAUACGAGGGCCCCGAGCGUUAUCCGGAUUUAUUGGGCGUAAAGGGUGUGUAGGCUGUUUAUACCAUCUCCUGUUAAAUCUUAAGGCUCAACCUUGAGGCUGCGGGAGAUAUGAAUAAACUAGAGUUCGGAAGAGGCAAGCGGAAUUGCUGGUGUAGGGGUUAAAUCCGUUAAUAUCAGCAAGAACACCGAAAGCGAAGGCAGCUUGCUAGGACGACACUGACGCUGAGACACGAAAGCGUGGGGAGCGAAUGGGAUUAGAUACCCCAGUAGUCCACGCUGUAAACGAUGGAUGCUGAACAUUGGCAGUAUCGACCCUGCCAGUGUGGCUGUAAUCAAGCUAACGCCUUAAGCAUCCCGCCUGGGGAGUACGGCCGCAAGGCUAAAACUCAAAGGAAUAGACGGGGACCCGCACAAGCGGUGGAGCAUGUGGUUUAAUUCGACGAUAAGCGAGGAACCUCACCAAGGUUUGACAUCUAGCUGCAGACUCCUGGAAACAGGAGAGCCUUCGAGGGUGCUAGACAGAUGCUGCAUGGUUGUCGUCAGCUCGUGUCGUGAGAUGUACCGUUAAGUCGGAAAACGAGCGCAACCCUUAUUCUAUGUUUCAUGUGUCAUAGAAAACUGCCUGCGUUAAGCAGGAGGAAGGUGGGGAUGACGUCAAAUCAGCAUGGUUCUUACACCUUGGGCGACACACGUGCUACAAUGGGUAAUACAAAGGGACGCCAAACCGUAAGGUGGAGCAAAUCCCCCAAAAUUACUCUCAGUUCGGAUUGAGGUCUGCAACUCGACCUCAUGAAGCCGGAAUCGCUAGUAAACGCGUAUCAGCCACGGCGCGUUGAAUACGUUCUCGGGUCUUGUACUCACCGCCCGUCACGUCAAGAGAGUCGGUAACACCCGAACAGCGCACCCGCGUUGGAAGGUGGGAUCGAUGAUAGGGACGAAGUCGUAACAAGGCAUCCGUAGCGGAAGCUGUGGAUGGAUUAUCUCCUUU
rnacentral:rRNA from 1 species